rnacentral:misc_RNA from 1 species
CAGUGCGGUCGGAUCGCGAUCGUCUCGCGUUUUCGUGCCUUUUUCACUCAUUCUAAAAAAGUUUUGUGCGGAUGAGUAAUUGAAAUGUCGAAUUUAGUGACGAACGGUUAUUUCAAAGUAUUGAUAAGCUCGCAUGAAGGACGCCUUUCGGCGUUCAAAAACAAAGUCUUCGCAUUCCAUUGCAAAAUAUUAUUUUUAGAUCCAUAUCUUUACUACGUAUUUUGUGUUAUUGUGCAUCCAACAAGCAUCGCAUAUGUUCUCUAUUAUUUGCAGCAUUGAGGAGCAUCAAUGAGACCAUCGAGGAUUCGCUGCAAUAGAUUCAUCGAAGCAGAGUACAAGUGUAUAGUGUAAAGUGAUCAAGAAAGAACAUGAUGACUCCAUAAAGAUGAUUGCCAGAUUCAAAGGAGCAACUAGGAGCAGAAAGGAGCAACGACCAGAAACAGGAAGGACAGGAGAAAGAAAGCAUGCAGUGGCGGCGCAUCAACCGGUUUUUCUUAUCCGGCCACGAAAUGAAUAUCCGGUUGUGGGUUUUAUUGCUACACGCGGAGCUGGGAAUCGAGCGCGGCGGGGUGGACAAGGGGAUAUCGACGGCGAAGCUGUGUCACCUACAUUCCCUUUAAAGGAGAUCGUUCUCGAGAAAAAAAAUCCAUAAUCAUCGACUCUUUCAAACUGACAACACGUGGAAGUUUCUACUGUCGAAGCGCCAGACUUCUUGCCGGAGGCUGUAGGUCGAGAGAGAGAGAGAGAGAGAGAGAGAGAGAGCGCGGAGAUCGGAACAGAUGGGAAAAACUCGUAAGGAAAAGCUCGACGAUUUUCCAAUCGAGCCGCGGGGUGUUCGUUGUCCCUCCGAAGAGAACAAAUCGACGAACAACGCCGACGAUCGGAUUGCGUUCCGGUCGAAAUCAGCUGAAUAAGUGAGAUAGGCAGUCGCCAGUAGAUGGAGGCGACUUGGCGCACCUUGUCGCAACCGAACAAGCGUCAUCUGGCAACGCACCAAAAAUGUGCAGCAUGCUCUGAGAUCCGUAACUCGGCUAGUACCUUUGAUGCUCCGGACCGGUCAGGCGCCGCAUCCUUCCUUUGAGAAGCAAAGGAAGGAAAAGAAAAUCGAAUCGGAGAUGCAUUCGACCGCGUGAAUUCAUCUUGCUAGUAUAAAGAGAAAUUCCCCGCGUCAUCUGAUUCAAAGCCGAAGCAUUUCUAGCCAAUACACGAUAUUCUACUCGAUACGCGACUCGUUACCUUCUUUCUGAAAUAGAAUUUAUCAAUAGAAAAAUGAUACAGUUUGCAAAAAUAUAUCCCGUUUCAACAUUUAUAAUUUUUACGUUUCAACAUUUUGAAAAGAAUAAAACGUUACUUUUUUAUACGGCAAUGUUUUCGGUCUACUAAUAUAACGCAUAGAUAUGUAAUAUAUACGUGUUGCUUAAUUCGUGCUAUAACAUCAAGAAAAAAACUUCUACUUUAAAUUACUUGAAACCAAAAUUCGUUGCGCUCUCACAUUUAUUUAUGAUUAUUUUCAAAGGCGCGUAGAUGUAUACAGCACUUGUUCUAACUGAUGCAUAAUUAAAACAAAACAGAGCAUGCAUGGAAAUUAGCAAACAUGGAAUUGUGCUCGACAUGUCCAUUGUUUAUAAAAGUAACAUGCGCAACGUUUCAUAUGUUCAAAUAUCUAUGUUUUUCGUGCGACAGUUUUCGCGUAUAUCUAACUUUGAUUACGAAUAAAACGUAAAACUCGUACCGGUUUCAGAAAAAAGUUGCUCCCGCGAAUAAACUUAUUCUACAUAUAAUAUCUACUAUUUUUCUUCCUUUUUAAAUUAACAAUAAGUUAAAAACGGUACAAGUUACUUAAACUUUCAGUCGAUAUGAAUAACACAGUUUUAAGACC